rnacentral:misc_RNA from 1 species
GUAGGUGAACCUGCGGAAGGAUCAUUAACUAGUAUUGAAGUCCACGGGGUCAAGCUCUCCGAAAGGAGGGUGGGGGGAUGUUUGGUUCCCCCUGCUUGGGCAGACUGGAGAGCAUGGUGCGACCAGCAUACUUAGUGUGUUGGCCAGAUCAUGUUUGGCCUCUGCUGAUCGAGCUUGUCACCUGAAUUCUACUACCCUUGCUUUUUGCGCACCCAUUGUUUCCUCGGUAGGCUUGCCUGCCAGUAGGACCUUUUAAAACCCUUUGUAAUUGCAAUCAGCGUCAGAAACAACGUAAUCGUUACAACUUUCAACAACGGAUCUCUUGGUUCUG